CGCUGCAUCAGUACAGCGACAUCAUCUUGCCGAGUGGUGAUGCCUGCUGGCGAUGCCAGCAAGAGUC
rnacentral:snoRNA from 1 species